ACCCCGCCCACCGCCCGCCCGCUUUCUGCUCGUCAGACCGAGAGCUCUGCAGCUGUGAGCGGGAAAACGAGGAGAAAUAUGAGUGAAGUUGGUCGCUGUAAAUCUCACCCGUGACUCCUGAGGUGGACUGUGCAAUCCUCCACCUUCCCAAACAGUGAGAAUCGAUCUCUGAGGUCCGACGGAGACAUGCUUCUCCGGAUUCCUCCCACGUACACCACCCUGCG